AAAGAAAGAAGGGGUCAUUUUAUGAUUUAGAGAAAAAGAAGACCAACCUCCCAAUUCGGUGCUAAUUUUGAUUAUCAUCUAAUCGAUUAUUUUAUUGGCGCUAUCAAAAGAACUAUACCUGGUAUGCGUUAGUUAACUUUUAUGUCUUCAUAAAGUUCAUAUUAACAGUUUUAUGGCCCGAAUGCCAGUUAUUCUGUUGGAUUUUAUGAGCAACUGCUUGUAAAACAAUCACCGCUUCUGGUACAGUUCAAGAAUUCAUUAGUUAGAAAGGAAAUAGAGCUUCAAAACGGAGUCGUUCCUGUGCAGGAACGAAAUUUUAUGCAAUCACACAGGACGUGACCUUGGCAGAGGUCUGAAAGGCAUCAAGGUCGACCCGCGAGUCUUCUGGCGUAAUGUGUGGAAGUCUUCCCCUUAGGCUGGACGGCGGACACAGUCAAUGCCAGCACCCCAUGCCGCCCUUGGUCAGGGCAGAUGCCAGCUCAGCUCACUCUGAACGCCAGUCUCCUCCUCUUCUCCGGGUACUCCAGCUUCCCCGGCCUGACCACACUCCCCUCCCCCCUGGCCGAGGCACCUCUGGCGCGGUUGCAGCCGCGGAGAACUCGAGGAGAACUGGCCGCCUCUCCUGGAAAUUACCUUCUAAUAGAAACCAAGAACGAGCGAAUACAACUAAUUACAGACGGUGGCUAGUACCGUGUAGGAAAUACACAGGAAGCUGUGGUAGAAACUAACAGGCCUCCUCAGGAUGUAUGAGGUGUCACUUGACCCUCCUCUACUUGGCCCUGGCCCCAGGCAUACUUUUGCAAAGUUCUCUGACUCCUGGUUUGGAAUACUGUCCUCUGAUUAGCUCAGCAUCAUUCUUCAGAUCUCUGCUCAAGUGUUAUGGGUGUGUGAUGCCUUUCUUGAUUUCCCCAGCCAGACUCCUUGUUGCUGCUUCUACUUUUUCUUACCCCUUAUACUAAGGGCCAUUAGAGCACAUAUCACUAUUUCAUUUGUUUGCAUAUCUGUAUAAGGAAAAGCCACAGUUCAGUAUUUCUCUUGAAUAGAGAAAAACUCAGUCC